GAGACACGCUGGCGGCGUGCUUUAACACAUGCAAGUCGAACGGUGAUCUUGAGAGCUUGCUCUUGGGUGAUCAGUGGCGAACGGGUGAGUAACACGUGAGUAACCUGCCCCUGACUCUGGAAUAACUUCGGGAAACCGAAGCUAAUACCGGAUAUGACACAGAGCCGCAUGGUUUCUGUGUGGAAAGUUUUUCGGUUGGGGAUGGACUCGCGGCCUAUCAGCUUGUUGGUAAGGUAAUGGCUUACCAAGGCGAUGACGGGUAGGGGACCUGAGAGGGUGGCCCCCCACAAUGGAACUGAAACACGGUCCAUACACCUACGGGUGGCAGCAGUAGGGAAUAUUAGUAAUGGGCGAAAGCCUGAACUAGCAACGCCGCGUGUGCGAAGAAGGCCUUCGGGUCGUAAAGCACUUUUUGAGAGGAUGAGGAAGGACGGUACUCUCAGAAUAAGUCUCGGCUAACUACGUG
rnacentral:rRNA from 1 species